AACAUACCUAAACGUUGCUUCGGCGGGAACAGACGGCCCCGUAACACGGGCCGCCCCCGCCAGAGGACCCCCUAACUCUGUUUCUAUAAAUGUUUUUUCUGAGUAAACAAGCAAAUAAAUUAAAACUUUCAACAACGGAUCUCUUGGCUCUGGCAUCGAUGAAGAACGCAGCGAAAUGCGAUAAGUAAUGUGAAUUGCAGAAUUCAGUGAAUCAUCGAAUCUUUGAACGCACAUUGCGCCCGCCAGUAUUCUGGCGGGCAUGCCUGUUCGAGCGUCAUUACAACCCUCAGGCCCCCGGGCCUGGCGUUGGGGAUCGGCGGAGCCCCCCGUGGGCACACGCCGUCCUCCAAAUACAGUGGCGGUCCCGCCGCAGCUUCCAUUGCGUAGUAGCUAACACCUCGCAACUGGAGAGCGGCGCGGCCACGCCGUAAAACACCCAACUUCUGAA
rnacentral:misc_RNA from 1 species